GGCCGGUUAACUCAGUCGGUUUGAGCUUGGUGCUGAUAACACCAAGGUCGUGGGUUUGAUCCACGUUCGGUCC
rnacentral:tRNA from 1 species